rnacentral:rRNA from 1 species
ACCUACGGGGCGCAGCAGUGGGGGAUAUUGCACAAUGGGGGGAACCCUGAUGCAGCGACGCCGCGUGAAGGAAGAAGUAUCUCGGUAUGUAAACUUCUAUCAGCAGGGAAGAAAAUGACGGUACCUGACUAAGAAGCCCCGGCUAACUACGUGCCAGCAGCCGCGGUAAUACGUAGGGGGCAAGCGUUAUCCGGAUUUACUGGGUGUAAAGGGAGCGUAGGCGGCAGUGCAAGUCAGAAGUGAAAGCCCGGGGCUCAACUCCGGGACUGCUUUUGAAACUGUACAGCUUGAUUG